AUUGAACGCUGGCGGCAGGCCUAACACAUGCAAGUCGAACGAGUGGCGGACGGGUGAGUAAUGUCUGGGAAACUGCCCGAUGGAGGGGGAUAACUACUGGAAACGGUAGCUAAUACCGCAUACCAUCGGAUGUGCCCAUAUGGGAUUAGCUUGUAGGUGAGGUAACGGCUCACCUAGGCGACGAUCCCUAGCUGGUCUGAGAGGAUGACCAGCAACACGGAAAAGGAGAAACGGGGAAGCCUACGACGGUGGGAGGAAGAGGGUGAUAUUGAGCAAUGGGGGAAAAACUGAUGCAACCAGGGCGCGUGUAUGAAGAAGGCCUUCAGGUUGUAAAGUACUUUAAGCGAGGAGGCGUUACCCGCAGAAGAAGCACCGGCUAACUCCGUGCCAGCAGCCGCGGUAAUAC
rnacentral:rRNA from 1 species